AAAUUCAACAAUAGAAAAGAAUGAUUAAAGAAGAAUGCAUCUUUUGAGGGGGAGCUUUAGAUAUUCAGUAUCUCAUACCUUGAUUUUUAUGGAUUGAUUUUGAUGAACCUCCUUAUAUUGCAAGACUUGCUUUAAAGGUUGUCUUAUCUCAAACAUUGAGUCUUAUGAAAAUAAGCUGAUACUUAUAGAAAAUAUAUUUGUUUUGAGAUUGACAAUUUUAUUGAACAUUAUCUACAAAUUCUAAACUCUUAAAUGGAAUGAUCAAUUAAGGGGGAGAAAAAAAAAUUCAGAAGGAAAGAUCAUAUGAAACUUAAUCGCAUAAAUCUAUAACUAAAGGAGAGAGAAAUCCUAAUACUCUCCAAUAUGUAUUAUCUGAAAUUUAAUCUGAAAAACUUUAUGAUACAACUUGAAGCUUGUUAUUUGGUUAAUAUAUCUUAUGCAUAAAUCAUGAACCAAAUUGCAAUUCAAAUAGUUGAUCUCAAGAGCCUCUAAUUUAAUGAAAAAGGGGGAGAAUGAUAUGUUGAAUUUGCUUGAGUAUCUUUUAGAAAAUCUAUUUUGAAAUUCACUGUGCCAAUUCAUAUUUUUAUGUAUCAAAUUGUGCUUAUUUUCUAAAAGAAAUAAAGGAAAGUCUUUAAAUGAGCUCUAAGAUGUAUCAAAAAUUGCAUAUUUUGGUAUUUGUGCCCCAAUGCUCUUAUUAUCAUAAAAGAACUUUGAAGUCAUUAAGAAUUAAUGAUCCAACAUGAUGAUAUGUUUUUCAAGUAUAUAAGUUUUGAUCUUAUACUCUGAAAAUUAAUUAAAUUGCUCUCAUGUUGAUAAAAUAUUUAA
rnacentral:lncRNA from 1 species